rnacentral:rRNA from 1 species
UUGGUUAAGUUAGAAAGGGCGCACGGUGGAUGCCUUGGCACUAGGAGCCGAAGAAGGACGGGACUAACACCGAUAUGCUUUGGGGAGCUGUACGUAAGCGUUGAUCCAGAGAUUUCCGAAUGGGGGAACCCACUAUCUUUAGUCGGAUAGUAUCCUUACGUGAAUACAUAGCGUGAGGAAGGCAGACCCAGGGAACUGAAACAUCUAAGUACCUGGAGGAAGAGAAAGAAAAAUCGAUUUCCUGAGUAGCGGCGAGCGAAACGGAAAGAGCCCAAACCAAGAAGCUUGCUUCUUGGGGUUGUAGGACACUCUAUACGGAGUUACAAAAGAAAGUUAUAAAUGAAGCGGUCUGGAAAGGCCCGCCAAAGACGGUAACAGCCCGGUAGUUGAAAUGGCUUUCCCUCCAGAGUGGAUCCUGAGUACGGCGGAACACGUGAAAUUCCGUCGGAAUCCGGGAGGACCAUCUCCCAAGGCUAAAUACUCCCUAGUGACCGAUAGUGAACCAGUACCGUGAGGGAAAGGUGAAAAGCACCCCGGAAGGGGAGUGAAACAGUUCCUGAAACCGUGUGCCUACAAGUAGUUAGAGCCCGUUAAUGGGUGAUAGCGUGCCUUUUGUAGAAUGAACCGGCGAGUUACGAUUUGUUGCAAGGUUAAGCGGAAAAAGCGGAGCCGUAGCGAAAGCGAGUCUGAAUAGGGCGCAUAAGUAACAGGUCGUAGACCCGAAACCAGGUGAUCUACCCAUGUCCAGGAUGAAGGUAAGGUAAUACUUACUGGAGGUCCGAACCCACGCACGUUGAAAAGUGCGGGGAUGAGGUGUGGGUAGCGGAGAAAUUCCAAUCGAACUUGGAGAUAGCUGGUUCUCUCCGAAAUAGCUUUAGGGCUAGCCUCGAGGUAAAGAGUCAUGGAGGUAGAGCACUGUUUGGACUAGGGGCCCUUCUCGGGUUACCGAAUUCAGAUAAACUCCGAAUGCCAUGUACUUAUACUCGGGAGUCAGACUGCGAGUGAUAAGAUCCGUAGUCGAAAGGGAAACAGCCCAGACCACCAGUUAAGGUCCCCAAAUAUAUGUUAAGUGGAAAAGGAUGUGGGGUUGCUUAGACAACCAGGAUGUUGGCUUAGAAGCAGCCACCAUUGAAAGAGUGCGUAAUAGCUCACUGGUCGAGUGACCCCGCGCCGAAAAUGUACCGGGGCUAAACAUAUUACCGAAACUGUGGAUGAACCUCUUUAGAGGUUCGUGGUAGGAGAGCGUUCUAAGGGCGGUGAAGUCAGACCGGAAGGACUGGUGGAGCGCUUAGAAGUGAGAAUGCCGGUAUGAGUAGCGAAAGAAGGGUGAGAAUCCCUUCCACCGAAUAUCUAAGGUUUCCUGAGGAAGGCUCGUCCGCUCAGGGUUAGUCGGGACCUAAGCCGAGGCCGAUAGGCGUAGGCGAUGGACAACAGGUAGAGAUUCCUGUACCAGUGCUAAUUGUUUAACCGAUGGGGUGACACAGAAGGAUAGGGAAUCGCACGAAUGGAAAUGUGCGUCCAAGCAGUGAGUGUGAGAAGUAGGCAAAUCCGCUUCUCGCGAAGCAUGAGCUGUGAUGGGGAAGG